rnacentral:rRNA from 1 species
GGAUUAGAUACCCUGGUAGUCCACGCCGUAAACGAUGUCAACUAGCCGUUGGAAUCCUUGAGAUUUUAGUGGCGCAGCUAACGCACUAAGUUGACCGCCUGGGGAGUACGGUCGCAAGAUUAAAACUCAAAUGAAUUGACGGGGGCCCGCACAAGCGGUGGAGCAUGUGGUUUAAUUCGAUGCAACGCGAAGAACCUUACCAUCCCUUGACAUCCAGAGAAUUUUCUAGAGAUAGAUAAGUGCCUUCGGGAACUCUGAGACAGGUGCUGCAUGGCUGUCGUCAGCUCGUGCCG